rnacentral:rRNA from 1 species
GAUGAACGCUGGCGGCGUGCCUAAUACAUGCAAGUCGAGCGAACAGACGAGGAGCUUGCUCCUCUGACGUUAGCGGCGGACGGGUGAGUAACACGUGGAUAACCUACCUAUAAGACUGGGAUAACUUCGGGAAACCGGAGCUAAUACCGGAUAAUAUAUUGAACCGCAUGGUUCAAUAGUUAAAGACGGUUUUUCUUUCACUUAUAGAUGUAUCCGCGCCGCAUUAGCUAGUUGGUAAGGUAACGGCUUACCAAGGCAACGAUGCGUAGCCGACCUGAGAGGGUGAUCGGCCACACUGGAACUGAGACACGGUCCAGAAUCCUACGGGAGGCAGCAGUAGGGAAUCUUCCGCAAUGGGCGAAAGCCUGACGGAGCAACGCCGCGUGAGUGAUGAAGGUCUUCGGAUCGUAAAACUCUGUUAUUAGGGAAGAACAAAUGUGUAAGUAACUAUGCACGUCUUGACGGUACCUAAUCAGAAAGCCACGGCUAACUACGUG